CAGUAAAUAUUCUCUUAACUUGGUCUCCCCAAAUUGGCUUACUUUCUUUCCUGUCUCAUAUAUUAGAGACUGGUUAAAAAGACAACACACAGGGCUGCUUAAAAAUCUGUGUCUAGACGAUGUAAACAACGUGUGGAAGGGAGAGAAUGAUGCAGAGGAGAGAGAGAGAAAAAGCCAUAACCUGAAACAGAAAAUCCCAGUUAAUGAAGUAUCUUCCUUUUUUUGUAGCCUUAUAAUUCUCUGGUUCCUGAAACCCACAGAGAUGUUUAUCAAAACAGCAUCCUUAACUGCGUUUACAACACGUUACCAACAGGCAGACUCACGCACAGGCAGAAGAGAAAGAAUGAGACACCACCAGAAGUUAGCAAGCUGGAUCCUCCUUGCUUUUGCAUCCAGAAGUGCCUGGAACCUCCCAAGCAGAGUACAGGAGGAUGCUGGCCCGCGGUGUGCCACCGACAACUUUCAGCACCACGGACGGCGCCUAUCCCACGUGGGCUCCCGGGCGCUCUCCCCGACCCCAGAUCCCCGAGGAGUCAGAUCGCGGCUGGCCCUUGCCCAACUCCAGUCAGAGACUGCCCCCGCCACCCUUCCCAGAGCGGGUUCAAGAACAACUCAAUGAACCUGAGCUUCGCACAGUUUAGGUACCAGACCCCUUGGCUGCCCACCAAAAACUUGAGGACCUCAGAACAACAAUGAGCUUUGUGACGAUGGAAUUUUAUGUCCAGCCAUUCCUAUAUGCCUAUGAAUGGAAGUCUUAUUUCAAGUUCAACGCUGUGCCCUCGAGUUAAUUUUAUAGUAGAUAGAUUCCCAGUUUGUUAUUUUCUUUGUUGAGUGAAAUGAAAGAAAAAAAAAAAAGCUCACUUAAAAUAAUAUGUUUAAGGUGUUUGUAUAAAAUGAAUUCCUUUUUAAAAGAAUUGAAGGGAAAAAUGGAAAUAGAGCUUUUAUAAAGGGGAGAGAAGU
rnacentral:lncRNA from 1 species